AGCAGCCGCGGUAAUUCCAGCUCCAAUAGCGUAUAUUAAAGUUGUUGCAGUUAAAAAGCUCGUAGUUGAAUUUCGGGGUUCAUACGUUGGUCGGGCUUUUUGGUCUGUACUGGCGUAAUGGAUUCCUACCUUCUGAAUAACCGGCAUGCCAUUAAUUUGGUGCGCCGGGGAAGCAGGACUGUUACCUUGAAAAAAUUAGAGUGCUUAAAGCAGGCUAUCGCCUGAAUACAUUAGCAUGGAAUAAUGAAAUAGGACGGCAUGGUUCUAUUUUGUUGGUUUCUAGGAUCACCGUAAUGAUUAAUAGGGAUAGUUGGGGGCAUUAGUAUUCAAUUGUCAGAGGUGAAAUUCUUGGAUUUAUUGAAGACUAACUUCUGCGAAAGCAUUUGCCAAGGAUGUUUUCAUUAAUCAAGAACGAAAGUUAGGGGAAUCGAGACGAAUCAGAUACCGUCGUAGUCUUAACCAUAAACUAUGCCGACU
rnacentral:rRNA from 1 species